rnacentral:lncRNA from 1 species
UCCGCCGACAGUCGGCGAAACCUUGGAAUCAGAAGAAUCUGGGAUGAAAGAGUGAGCAAGAAUUGGAAGAAUAAAGGAAUUUGGAUUUUGAAAUUACAGUUUUUGAGAUUGGAUGAUACAAACUACAAGUGGUAGUAGGAUUGGAAGAAGGGAAGAAACAAGGAAGACAGGGAAGCGUGACUGAUUCUUCUUUUUAAUCUUGGGACACCAAACAAACCCUUAUUUUGAUUUUCGGUUUG